rnacentral:rRNA from 1 species
CGCGUAGGCGGGCCCGCAAGUCGAUCGUGAAAUCCUUCGGCUCAACUGAAGGGGGUCGGUCGAUACUGCGGGUCUUGAGGGAUGCAGAGGAGACUGGAAUUCCCGGUGUAGCGGUGAAAUGUGCAGAGAUCGGGAGGAACACCGGUGGCGAAGGCGGGUCUCUGGGCAUCUCCUGACGCUGAGGCGCGAAAGCGUGGGGAGCAAACG